rnacentral:rRNA from 1 species
CCUACGGGUGGCAGCAGUCGAGAAUCAUUCACAAUGGGGGGAACCCUGAUGGUGUGACGCCGCGUGGGGGAAUGCAGGUCUUCGGAUUGUAAACCCCUGUCAUGUGGGAGCAAAUUAAAAAGAUAGUACCACAAGAGGAAGAGACGGCUAACUCUGUGCCAGCAGCCGCGGUAAUACAGAGGUCUCAAGCGUUGUUCGGAAUCACUGGGCGUAAAGCGUGCGUAGGCUGUUUCGUAAGUCGUGUGUGAAAGGCGAGGGCUCAACCCGCGGACGGCACAUGAUACUGCGAGACUAGAGUAAUGGAGGGGGAACCGGAAUUCGUGGUGUAGCAGUGAAAUGCGUAGAUAUCGAGAGGAACACUCGUGGCGAAGGCGGGUUCCUGGACAUUAACUGACGCUGAGGCACGAAGGCCAGGGGAGCGAAAGGGAUUAGAUACCCUUGUAGUC